rnacentral:rRNA from 1 species
CACGUAGGGCGCGAGCGUUGUCCGGAAUUACUGGGCGUAAAGCGUGCGCAGGCGGUUUGUUAAGUCCGUUGUGAAAGCCCCGAGCUCAACUUGGGAAUUGCAGUGGAUACUGGCAGGCUGGAGUACGGUAGAGGAAGGUGGAAUUCCCGGUGUAGCAGUGAAAUGCGUAGAUAUCGGGAGGAACACCAGUGGCGAAGGCGGCCUUCUGGACCAGUACUGACGCUCAUGCACGAAAGCGUGGGGAGCAAACAGG